GAUGAAGAACGCAGCGAAAUGCGAUAAGUAAUGUGAAUUGCAGAAUUCAGUGAAUCAUCGAAUCUUUGAACGCACAUUGCGCCCGCCAGUAUUCUGGCGGGCAUGCCUGUUCGAGCGUCAUUUCAACCACCAAGCCCCCGGCUUGUGUUGGGGACCUGCGGCUGCCGCAGGCCCUGAAAACCAGUGGCGGGCUCGCUAGUCACUCCGAGCGUAGUAAUACAUCUCGCUCAGGGCGUGCUGCGGGUUCCGGCCGUUAAAAAGCCUUAUUUACCCAAGGUUGACCUCGGAUCAGGUAGGAAGACCCGCUGAACUUAAGCAUAUCAAUAAGCGGAGGA
rnacentral:misc_RNA from 1 species